UUGAAAGCUUCUAGGGCAGAACAAACUCAUUCCUCAUGAGCAGUUCACCAUGAAAGACGCUGCCUAACUCAGACCACAUAUGGCAAGCCUCAUUCGCCAUCUAUUCCAAAAGCUGCUUUCUGCACAGUCAUACAUCUUAGCAAGAGGAUAAUGAAAAUCCAGCAGCAACAUCCUAGACACAUGUUGUACAAUGAAGACUAACAGAGGACUGGCUACCCCAACCAAGUUUCUGAAGUUCUGCCAGUCAGCAGGUUGGAAUGCCACCAAAACAACCAAGCAGCACAGAAGCAUGUCCAUGCCCUGCAACCUUCUGUAUGUUUAUUCCAGCAAGGAAGCCACUCUGCUUGAAACAGUGAGGAUUGUCCAGAUCAGCUCUGAGCCCCAGGGAUGAUGGAUGCCUUUCACAGGGAGCUGCACAGCUUUUGGAAUUUGGGAAGUCACGGCAAGGGUUGAUCUGGCUCUGGACUGUUAGCAUUGGUCUUCUUCUUUGCUUAUUCCAAAAUUCUUUUGAGGAAUCUGGGCUGGUUGUUGGGUUGUUGGGGUUUGUUUUGUUUUGUUUUUUAGCAAGUAACUGCAACUAGAAAUAGGGAUAUGCCUUAAGUGCUAGAUUAAUGUCAUGAGACAGCCCAUACACAGCUCAUGGUCCCUUAUCAUGCCGGAUCUGAACCUACUGGCUCCACAUGAUUUAUUUCAAGCUUUCAAGUCAGUGAAGUAUUUAAUGAUUUUGUAACUGAAGCUUGUCAUUAGGUUUAUCCCCUCUGUCUGUGUCUGCUCCUUUUUCCUUGAAGGCUGGCCCAUUCUUCCAUCUGGAGGACUGGAAAGUGGCUGUACACAGAGGAUCCACUCUGGGCUGGAGGAGGUUACUGGAGGGCAACAGGCUGAUCCCUCCCUCUCUGAGGGCUGAACAAGGAGCCUCCCUUGGAUGAUGCAGGAUGAUCUUGUUCCCCAGAGCUAACCCUGAUGUUUCCUUGACAGUGUUCCAUUGGUGGGAUAGCAACUGAAGAUGCUCGGUGCCCAUGGGCAGAAUGCCUCUGGCAAGAGAAAACACUGGGCCAUCCACUCCUGGAGGCUGAAGAUGCAAGGGAACCCAAGGGAACCCUGUCCUGUACCUUUUUGUGCUCCUUCUGUGCUCAGCCAAUUGCUCCUUCAUACACUCUUCUCCUCAUCUGCUUACUUGUGACACUGAGAUACAGUUUAUUGGCACGCUGCUUAUACCCAGGAUAAAGCCUUUCUGCUUUUCUGUGGAAUAAAGCUCAGGCUUAGACUGAUUAGAGGUUCUCAGUUUCCUGUUAAACCAAUUUUAAUUAUACAUCUUUUGAAGUCAUGGUCUCUUGGCUGAUGCUAAAAGGGAAUGCAGCAGGUUUUGGAUUUUGAAUCACAGCUAAUGACUUUUCAGUAGUUUCAGAACAACAAGGUGCCAGUGCCACCUCUUGUUAGUAAAAUCUGAUAGCAGCAAACUGGUCACUAAUAGUUCAGGAGUAGCCUUUCUCUGUUCCACUGCUAUCAUGUGGAGUCUUGGUUCCAAACUUGGCUUAGAAGUGUUUACACCUUCAGUAUGUUUGCAACAUUGACAAAUUUUGAAUGAUUGUGCAACGCUGUUUAUGAUGGAAUAUGUCACUGGGGUGAGCUGGCUUUCCCAUGAACAAGCAUACAAGUUAUCUGCAUGAGUCUUGAAUUGCAGCAUUUCUGCUCUAAGCACCAGUACAGAACCCAAGGAUCUGAUCAUCUGAUUCUUUCUUGAGACACACAAUAUGGUAGAAAAAAGAAAAAAGAAAGGUCUUUUUUCUUGCUGUUAUAAAUUGUCAGGGAGUGCAUGUACUGCAAGGAACAAGAAUAUCAAAUUUCAAUUACUGUUCAUUUCUACAAAAGUCAAGCCCAAACUCACAGACUGAGUCUGGGACCCUUUUGCUAAGUACUGCUCAAAAUAUGUCAAGAGAAACUACAGCAUGAAUGAAUGACUCAGAAACAGUGAGAAACAAAACUGAAGUAGAAGGAGGGAAAAAAAACUUGAAUAGCAUGACAGAGCUGGUGAUAGAGCUUGGUCAGGAAAAACCAAAUUCUGAACCCACAUCUCCUGAGAAGUUAAUCACACAUUUACUUUACCACACUGCCCACUUCCUUUCUGUAUUGAAAAAGAUGCAUAUAUCCUGAACUUAUAGCAAAGUUGCUACAAGUUUUGGUUAAGAUUUUUCUUUUGUACAUUAGCAGCAUUUGUUCCGUGAACUGCAAGAUGGGCUGCUCUGUGCUUCUCCACCAUGGAACUGCUAAAUUCCUGACUUCUGCACAAGUGGGAUGAAGCAGCCUGUCCCAUCUGCACUUUGGGAGAAACUUAGAAUUCUCUGUGUUCACACCCUCCCCUGCAUACACAUACUCCACCCGGGAAAAUUAAGGUGCACUUGGAGCAUGUGCAAAAAUAUCUCUGCUAGCUUAAUCUAA